rnacentral:tRNA from 1 species
AGCCGUAUAGCUUAAUUGGAAAAGCAUUCGUUCUUACCCUACCCGGACGAAAGAUUAAGGUUCGAAUCCUUAUAUGGCUA